UACGGAGGGUGCAAGCGUUGUCCGGAAUCACUGGGCGUAAAGCGCGUGUAGGCGGCUCGAUAAGUCUGCUGUGAAAGUCCAGGGCUCAACCCUGGGAUGCCGGUGGAUACUGUCGAGCUCGAGUCCGGAAGAGGCGAGUGGAAUUCCUGGUGUAGCGGUGAAAUGCGCAGAUAUCAGGAGGAACACCAAUGGCGAAGGCAGCUCGCUGGGACGUGACUGACGCUGAGACGCGAAAGCGUGGGGAGCAAACAGG
rnacentral:rRNA from 1 species